rnacentral:misc_RNA from 1 species
UUAGUGAGUGGGUACAGAGAG